rnacentral:rRNA from 1 species
CGUAAAGCGCAUGCAGGUGGUUUGUUAAGUCAGAUGUGAAAGACCCGGGGCGUCAACCUACGGAAUUGCAUUUAGUAAACUGGACAAACUAAGAGUACUGUAGAGGGGGUAGGAAUUUCAGGUGUAGCGGUGAAAUGCGUAGAGAUCUGAAGGAAUACCGGUGGCGAAGGCGGCCCCCUGGACAGAUACUGACACUCAGAUGCGAAAGCGUGGGGAGCAAACAGGAUUAGAUACCCUGGUAG